UACGAAGGUGGCAAGCGUUGUUCGGAUUCACUGGGCGUACAGGGAGCGUAGGCGGUUGGGUAAGCCCUCCGUGAAAUCUCCGGGCCCAACCCGGAAAGUGCAGAGGGGACUGCUCAGCUAGAGGACGGGAGAGGAGCGCGGAAUUCCCGGUGUAGCGGUGAAAUGCGUAGAGAUCGGGAGGAAGGCCGGUGGCGAAGGCGGCGCUCUGGAACGUUUCUGACGAUGAGGCUCGAAAGAGUGGGGAGCAAACAGG
rnacentral:rRNA from 1 species